rnacentral:misc_RNA from 1 species
GAAAUGCGAUAAUUAAUGUGAAUUGCAGAAUUCAGUGAAUCAUCGAGUCUUUGAACGCACAUUGCGCCCCCUGGUAUUCCGGGGGGCAUGCCUGUCCGAGCGUCAUUGCUGCCCUCAAGCACGGCUUGUGUGUUGGGCUUCCGUCCCUGGCAACGGGGACGGGCUCAAAAGGCAGUGGCGGCACCAUGUCUGGUCCUCGAGCGUAUGGGGCUUUGUCACCCGCUCCCGUAGGUCCAGCUGGCAGCUAGCCUCGCAACCAAUCUUUUUAACCAGGUUGACCUCGGAUCAGGUAGGGAUACCCGCUGAACUUAAGC